UGGGGAAUAUUGGACAAUGGAGGAAACUCUGAUCCAGCAAUUCUGUGUGUGUGAAGAAGGUUUUAGGACUGUAAAACACUUUUAGUAGGGAAGAAAAAAAUGACGGUACCUACGGAAGAAGCAACGGCUAAAUACGUGCCAGCAGCCGCGGUAAUACGUAUGUUGCGAGCGUUAUCCGGAAUUAUUGGGCUUAAAGGGCAUCUAGGCGGUAAGACAAGUUGAAGGUGAAAACCUGUGGCUCAACCAUAGGCUUGCCUACAAAACUGUUGAACUAGAGUACUGGAAAGGUGGGUGGAACUACACGAGUAGAGGUGAAAUUCGUAGAUAUGUGUAGGAAUGCCGAUGAUGAAGAUAACUCACUGGACAGAAACUGACGCUGAAGUGCGAAAGCUAGGGGAGCAAACAGG
rnacentral:rRNA from 1 species